CGGUACAAUUCGGGUAGGCUGCUCGGUUCUCACCGCGCAGUUAGACGCAACCCUGACGCAACCUUAAACUUGGGAUAAGAGGGAUCUAUGAGUUCUUCAUAAAUUCUCUCUUUCUCAUCGAAACUGUUAAGGUUUAAUUGUUUCGUACAGUUAAAACAACGAAACUUUGUCUGGUUGCCUACCCCCCCAUUUUUUUAAUUUACAAUAUAAAAAUAAAUUUAUCAUUUCAGAUUGAUACUCUAAAUAAAAAUUUU
rnacentral:telomerase_RNA from 1 species